rnacentral:rRNA from 1 species
AACGAACGCUGGCGGCAUGCCUAACACAUGCAAGUCGAACGAGACCUUCGGGUCUAGUGGCGCACGGGUGCGUAACGCGUGGGAACCUGCCCUUAGGUUCGGAAUAACUCCCCGAAAGGGGUGCUAAUACCGGAUAAUGUCUUCGGACCAAAGAUUUAUCGCCUUUGGAUGGGCCCGCGUUGGAUUAGCUAGUUGGUAGGGUAAAAGCCUACCAAGGCGACGAUCCAUAGCUGGUCUGAGAGGAUGAUCAGCCACACUGGGACUGAGACACGGCCCAGACUCCUACGGGAGGAAGCAGUGGGGAAUAUUGGACAAUGGGCGAAAGCCUGAUCAAGCAAUGCCGCGUGAGUGAUGAAGGCCUUAGGGUUGUAAAGCUCUUUUACCCGGGAGGAUAAUGACAGUACCGGGAGAAUAAGCUCCGGCUAACUCCGUG